UACAAACUGUGGAAUUGCCCUAACAGAACGUCCGAAUUUACAGGUCUUGGCCGGAGACCGGAGCCAUGUCUGUGUUAUCCCCACUGUAGACAAUCCUUGCUUCCUCUGGACAUCUGGAGCAGGCCCAAUUUGACUGAGAGCCUUCCCCCACUAAGUUACAGAUCCAGCCCCACCAUCACCACCAGAGUUGAGUCCAAAUCCAACACUCUAGGCCGGGUAGUGCUGGGACUUUGCCAGCCUCCUGCUGAGAAGUGAAUUCUCCCCUUGGCAAACUGCAGCCAGCCAGCCUCCUGGGUCGAGAGCCAAGCCAAAAGAUGUCUGAGAGAAGAAACCUGGGGUCCUGCAAAGGUAAGUGGGUCCCAGCCCACUCUCAAUCCCCCUCUCUCUGUGUGAUUGCUAUUCCACACUGGAGUCACCUGCUCUGUGCUUCUGAGGAACCUCACCUCUGGCACAUCAAUGGAAAUUGUCCUUCCCUUUUUAUUUAUUUUUAUUUAUUUUUUAUUUUUUGCCACCCUCACUGGCCACUAAGAGAUAGCCCUAGCUCCUCCUCUCCUGCCUGGUUUUGACAGGACUCACUCCAUUGAGUCCUGUCUCGUCUCUUUGCAGCCCUCCUCCUCCCCCCCCCCCUUCAGCCAGCACUUAGGCCCUCCCUGAUUUAGCCCGUUACCUUGACAACCACUUGGGCCUGUCUCCCUCAUCACCACUGAAAACCUGAAGGUGGUUUUCCAGCUGCGGUACAUUUGCCCAAGUUGGGCACCCCUCCAGCUUCUAUUGGCUCGCCCUCUAUACAGCUGUACCCAAUAUAACAAACACAACCUUCCUGGCCCCUCAGCUGUAGUCUCGAAAUUGAUCUCACUGGUCCCGGGAACUCCGUCAAUACUGCCUCCUCUAGACUGAGCUCCUCACAGGCAGGAACAUGGUUGUUUCUCAAUAAACAAGUUGCAAAAAAAGGAA
ensembl:lincRNA AI480526 expressed sequence AI480526